UUUAAGGCUGGUCAUUAGCAAUAUUAUGGACGACCUAAGUUCCUCGAACUUAUGCAGUUUAUAGCUUUUUAAGAAUUUAAGAAGUGGAGAAGGGGAAGCAUGAGAAACUUAAAGGAUGCAAAUUGAGCAUCUCUUAAAAUAUAAUGGAUUUGUGUAGGUGAAACAGAUUUGUUGCCGAAGACUGUCGUGAACAUUGUUGUGUCCCCUGGUUUUUGAGUCUUAAUGUGUCUUAAGUGUUUUAGAUGUUAGUGACUUUUUUAAGAGCACAUUAAAUGCAGAGGUAAUAUAGAAUAAUGGGAAGUUCUGGAUUGACAGAUAGACAUAUAUUCUGAUUCCAUCUGUGUCAUUAAUUGCUGUUGGGAAUGUCACUUAACUUCUCUGGGCAUCAAUUUUCUCAUCUAUACAAUUAAGGGCCUAUAGUCUUUGACCUCAAGUAGUUUCUCUAGCCUGAUUCUGUAAAUUUUUAAUAAGUUCUAAUUAUGUUAUUUGGUAUUCAUCUCAUAUAGGUAGACUAACCUUUGCCAUUUAAAAGAAACAAGAUUCUGUGUUGGGUUCUGCUUUUAGCUUAUGGAUUUUAGACAUUGUCCAAAAGUGCUUCGGAAAUUGAAUGUAUGUUGCAAGUAUUAUGUAGUAAGAACAUGCUUAUGCUGUUGUAAUUCGCUUAGUGAUGAAAUCAAAUCAGGUUUUACAUUGGGAACUUCAUAAUUUAGUGUGAAGCCACAAGACUUGAGAAUGGUUUGGGGGAGUAUGUGCAAUUUAUAUAGCUAGUUGUUUCUUACCACCCAAUUCUGUAAUUUUCUAUGGUGAAUAUAUACAUAAAUUUAUAAUCAUGUAACAUUGAUUGAAGAUAUAAGAUGAUAUCAGAUUCAUAUUGGAUUGAACUAGGACUGCCAGUAACUUUAGAGGCCUCCAAAAUUAUUAACAUGUCAUUGCUAUUUUUAAUCUUAAUUUUUUGGUAUCAUCAAUAUUGAUAUCAUGCUUUCACCUUUGCUUUUGUAUCUAGAAACAAUAUACUUUUUAAGUUCAUACUUGUAUCAGAUAUUAAAAAUGAAAAUUGUAGCAUAAAAGUGGAUAGAUGAGUAAAUCUUGGGUUCAAGCCUGCGUUGUAUUCUUCAUUAGCCGUGUUGUUUCUGGCAAGCCACGUAACCCCUCUGAGCUCCAAUUCCUUCAUUAGUGAAAGGAAGAAGAGCAGCUUCUCUACUUUUCUAACAGACUGCCAGGGGGAGAAUGCAACGGAAUAAUGUGUAUGAAAAGUAUUCAAAAAAUGUAAGGGUCUGGUAUUAGAAUCCUAUUAUAUUGGAAUCCUGUUUUAUUUCUUGGAAGAAUUGGCUUGUGGAGCAGUAGUAAACCUGGUCCACAUUGUCAAGUGCAGAAUUUAGCAAUAUCACUGAUAAGGCAACAGAAAAGGUUUCUGCUUCUGUAGUCUGGCUGGAGAAACCUUUCAGCAAAUGUAUCCUGUCUGCCAGUUGGAAUAAUCACAAUGUUGCAGGGACUUCAGAGGAACCUGGGGUGUCUCACAUUUAUGCCAAGGUCUGUACUUAGAAUAGACUUGCUAGAUUUUACCCAUUUUCUUAUGUUGGAGUCGUGGGAGAAGGUGGUAGGAGCAAGGAGUUUAGCACACUCUGCAUAAAGUUUUAAGGCUACAUUUUUAAGUAGCAGGUGGCAGUGUCAUAGGGUAAUGAAAUCAAUGUACUUAUUUUAAAAAGCAUUUUAAAAAAGAAUAUAUCAGUACAUUGUGUAAAGUAAAAGUAAAUAUUGAUUUGGGAAACCUUUCUUUUUAAAAGAUAUGUUUAUGUAUGUAUACUUGGUUGCCGUGUAAAAUGUAUUUUUUCUUUUUAAAAAUUAUUAUUUUCAUUUUUUGUAGAGACAGGGUUUUGCUACAUUGCCCAGGCUGGUCUUGAACUCCUGGGCUUGAGUAGUCCUGCCUUGGUCUCCCAAAGUGCUGGGAUUAUAGACAUGAGCCACUGCACCUGGCCUAGAAAGUUAUUUUUUCUUUUGGGUCGUGAUAAAACUUGGUCGUAGUUGUUUAGGGACAUAGUACUUGUGCAAUGCCGAUAGAAUGACUGUCUAUAAAAUAGUAAGGCAUGAAACAAAUGAAAACAAAGAGAAAAUUGUGAAGAUGGGUUACCUUAAAGCUAUUCUGUUAGCGGUGAAAUACCUCAUAGCUUUGUUCUAAAUUGUUGAAUUAAUGAACAAAGCACAUAAACUUAUGCUAUAAUAAUCUUCUUAAGUACUCUUUUCCCUUAAGAUGGAGUGUGGAGUACUUGUUAACCACACAGGUAUUGUCUUGAUCUGAUAACUAUAGAUAUUCAGAAUGAUUCUGUUGUGACAGAUGGUAGCAAGCUUUUCUGAUUUCACUUAUCUGGGGUCUAAAUCUAAUUUCUUUAGUAGUUAAUACAUAUAUAUAUAUAUUUUUUGAGACAGAGUCUUGCUCUGUCACCCAGACUGGAGUGCAAUGGCAUGAUCUCGCCUCACUGCAACCUCCGCCUCCCAGGUUCAAGUGAUUCUCCCUGCCUCAGCCUCCCGAAGUAGUUAAUACUUUUGUAACUUAGUUGCAGAAGAGAGAUAGAAAUUUCUGAAUAAUUUUCAGAAUUAUUCAUAGAUUUAUAAUCUGGCAGAAUAUAAGGAAGUUAUAAGUAUAUUGAUAAAUCAUGACAUAACUGGCAAGAAUUGGUAUAAAGACAAGAUGGUUAACUUGAAACAGGGUUGUUGUUUAUUAUAUGCCUAUCAUUUUUCCAUGAGAUAAACCAAAUAUUAGAUUAAGUAUUUGGACUGAUCCACAAAUGACAUGGGAAGACAGAGUGUUUACAAAGAGUUUUAGAAGUGAUACAGGACAAUAAUUUGGAGUUUUAACUUAAUCUCAUUUUAAAUUUCAAAGUGAAAUUAUUUCUGAUUAUGAAAGCUACAGAACUUUUUUUUAGAUGGAGUCUCAUUGUGUCACCCAGGCUGGAGUGCAGUGGCGUUUUCUCAGCUCACUGCAACCUCUGCCUCCUGGGUUCCAGCAAUUCUGCUGCCUCAGCCUCCCGAGUAGCUGGGAUUACAGGUACCCGCCACCAUACCUGGCUAAUUUUUGUAUUUUUAGUAGAGACAGGGUUUCACCAUGUUGGCCAGGCUGGUUUCUAACUCCUGACCUCAGGUGAUUCACCUGCCUUGGCCUCCUAAAGUGCUAGGAUUACAGGCGUGAGCCAAUGCAUCUGGCCCAGAACAGUUUUAAUGUUUUUCUUUUUUAAAAAAAGUAGAGAUAACCUGUAAUCCCAUCUGGAUGUGAUGUUUGGUGUUUUCAUUUUUUUUCUUAUGCAUACCUAUUGAAAUACCUUAAAAAAGAACAACUUUCCAUGUAAAAUUGAUAUCCCCUUAAUGAGUAAAUGAGUAUUUAGUGUUCUAUAAUAUGGAUGCAUCAUAGUUUAUAGCAGUUCUGUGUUGUUAAUGGAUAUUGCCAAUUUUUCUCUUAAAGUAGUACUGUGAUGAACUUGUUUGGGCAUUGAAUUGUCCUAUUAUUUCCUUAGGAUAAUUUUUUUUUUUUUGAGACAGAGUCACUCUGUCACCCAGGCUGGAGUGCAGUGGUAUGAUCUUGGCUCACUGCAGCCUCUGCCUCCCAGGUUCAAGUGAUUCUCCUGCCUCAGCCUCCUGAGUAGCUGGGAGUACAGCCGUGCACCGCCACGCCCAGCUAAUUUUUUGCAUUUUCAGUAGAGAUGGGGUUUUACCAUGUUGGCCAGGCUGGUCUCGAUCUCCUGACCUCGUGAUCCGGCCGUCUUGGCCUCCCAAAGUGCUAGAAUUACAGGCCUGAGCCACCGCGCCUGGCCCAGGAUAAAUUCUUAAAAGCGGAUUUAUUAGCCAGGCAUGGUGGCUCAUGCCUGUAAUCCCAGCACUUUGGGAGGCCAAGGCGGGUGGGUGGAUCACCUGAGGUCAGCAGUUCAAGACCAGCCUGGCCAAAAUGGUGAAACCCCAUCUCUACUAAAAUACAAAAAUUAGUCUGGUGUGGUGGCGAGGGUCUAUAAUUCCAGCUACUUGGAAGGCUGACGCACAGAGAAUCACUUGAACCCGGGAGGCGGAGGCUGCAGUGAGCCGAGAUUAAGCUACUGCACUCCAGCCUGGGCGACAGAGUGAGACUCAUUCUAAAAAAAAAAAAAAAAAAAAAAAAAAAAAGGGCUUAUUAGGUCAAAAGGUAUGUGUGUUUUAAAUGUGGAUAUACUCAAGAUGCCCUUUAGAUAGGAUGUCUAUUUGAAAUUCCCGUCAGCAGCAUAUUAGUAUUCAAUUCCAUAUAUUCUUGCUAGUGAUUUGUCAUCUUUAGCUUG
rnacentral:lncRNA from 1 species